AUUGAACGCUGGCGGCAGGCUUAACACAUGCAAGUCGAGCGAGCGGCGGACGGGUGAGUAAUGUCUGGGAAACUGCCUGAUGGAGGGGGAUAACUACUGGAAACGGUAGCUAAUACCGCAUACCAUCAGAUGUGCCCAGAUUGGAUUAGCUAGUAGGUGGGGUAAUGGCUCACCUAGGCGACGAUCCCUAGCUGGUCUGAGAGGAUGACCAGCCAAACUGGAACGUAGACAAGGUACAGACUCAUACGGGAGGCAGCAGUGGGGAAUAGUGAACAAUGGGCGCAAGCCUGAUGAAGAUAUGCCGCGUGUGUGAAGAAGGCAUUCGGGUUGUAAAGCACUUUCAGCGAGGAGGCGUUACCAGCAGAAGAAGCACCGGCUAACUCCGUGCCAGCAGCCGCGGUAAUUC
rnacentral:rRNA from 1 species